AGGGCCAGGCCUACCAGGAGCAGCCAAAUGACUACCUGUUCAUCUUCCCAAGACAUAUGUGCUGGUAACUUUUGUACCUUCGCCUCCUUGUGCUUUGUCUGUCUCAGCCCCUUGGAUAUUUAUACCAUAGAAGGAUCUCAUUUGCUUCUAUAAUGUUUAAUCCAAGCUUCAAUCACAAGACCCACUUCAGAGUUUUGUAUUUCCUCUUCGAAUUUUGAAGUAUAGAAGGAGAGAUGAUGAUGAUGAUUGGUGUUGCUAGUGUGCAAGGCUUGAUUGAUUUAGUGGUAGCAGGGAUUUCUUUGAUGAUUUGUUUGGGAAUUUUUGCAUUCAUUGCUUCUAUUCUUUGCUCUGCUGCUUUCUUUCACCAUGCCAAGGAGGUCUCUUGAUCCAUGCAUCCGAGUGGUAAAGGAUUUAGGUUGUCAACUGUCAAUGGGAAGCUUUUGGUAUUGAGAGCAGCCAAUUCAAGCAAAAAUUCCAAAAAUAAGGACCGCAUUCAACUCGCCACUCCUAGGUCUCCAUUUCAAAUUUACUACAAAAUGUGCUGUCCAAAUGGAAGUUCCAGCAAAAUCAGCAUUAUGUCUGUGACAGCUGUUCUAGAAUCAAUAUCAACUAUAAUGCUAAGUUGAAUAAAUGGUGUUUCCAAGGAGGUACAUAGAUGAAAUGUUGAAAUGCAGUACUUCUCUGCAAUUGCUACAAGAAUAUGUUAACCACUACAUAGACCGAGUUCCCUCUCUGAAACUCUCGCUCACUUGUAUCAAUGAGAAUGUACCAUGCAGUGUUCAACAAUUAAUAAAAGUCUUUGGAGACAUUAGACUCUUGUUGUAGUGUUGAGUUCAUAUUGUUGUGUAUGAUUUGGUAUAUCAGGUGCUACAAUCCUACUAUUAGUCUUAGGUAUCAAAUAUUUCUUGGGAGGUCUUCAGAAAGUGGUGAGAUGAUUUCCAUUCUCAUUUCCUUGCAGUCCAAGAUGUGGGGUAGUAAAGGAGCAAAUUUGUAGAGGAGAUUUUGAUGGGAUAUGUAUUUUGGGUUUGGGUAAACUUAAGCAUGUUGCCAAUGUUCAUCUUGAGACAGGAUCGAACUCUCCAUGAGAUUUAUAGUUGCAUUAAUUACUGAGCUUCCUUGUUCA